rnacentral:rRNA from 1 species
CUUUACUGUAGCCUGGUAUUGGGUUCGGGCUUUGACUGCGCAGGAUAGGUGGGAGACUAUGAAGCUGCCCUUGUGGGGGCAGUGGAGUCAUCAGUGAGAUACCACUCUGUCAAGGCUAGAAUUCUGACCGUCUGCCGUUAUCCGGCGACGGAACAGUAUCAGGUGGGCAGUUUGACUGGGGCGGUCGCCUCCUAAAUGGUAACGGAGGCGCGCAAAGGUUCCCUCAGGCUGGUUGGAAAUCAGCCGAAGAGUGUAAAGGCAGAAGGGAGCUUGACUGCAAGAGCAACAACUCAAGCAGGGACGAAAGUCGGCCUUAGUGAUCCGACGGCGCUGAGUGGAAGGGCCGUCGCUCAACGGAUAAAAGUUA